rnacentral:misc_RNA from 1 species
ACCAAAUUCUGCAUUUUUUAAUUCCCAAUACCUCUCUAUAUCUCUAUAACUUUGUCUUAUAAUAAUAAUAUCAAUGGUGGAUGGUGCAUUUACAAUAACAAGACUAUACAAUAUAACUUGCGCGCGUGUUUAGUUUGUGCUUACGUAUGUUAAUUUAAUUAAGGUCAUAAUCCACCAUCAAAUGUGCAGAUUAAAGUUGUUUAGGUG